rnacentral:piRNA from 3 species
GCCUGGAUAGCUCAGUUGGUAGAGCAUCA